rnacentral:tRNA from 1 species
UCAAUCUUAGUAUAAACUUAUUACAGAGGUCUUGUAAACCUCAGAUCUGCUAAGCUGCGGAGGUUGAU